rnacentral:misc_RNA from 1 species
GAUGAAGAACGUAGCGAAAUGCGAUACUUGGUGUGAAUUACAGAAUCCUGUGAACCAUCGAGUCUUUGAACGCAAGUUGCGCCCGAAGCCAUUAGGCCGAGGGCACGCCUGCCUGGGCGUCACACGUCGUUGCCCCCCCAUCUACUCCUUCGGGAUUGCGGGGGGCGGAUGAUGGCCUCCCGUGCGCCUCGUCGCGCGGUUGGCAUAAAUGCCAAGUCCUCGGCGACGCACGCCACGACAAUCGGUGGUUGCGAAACCUCGGUUGCCCGUCGUGUGCGGUCGUCGCGCAUCGAGGGCUCGAAAAAAUUGUCGGGCUCCGGCUCGGCUUUCAACGCGACCCCAGGUCAGGCGGGGUUACCCGCUGAAUUUAAGCAUAUCAAUAAGCGGAGGA